rnacentral:rRNA from 1 species
ACGUUAGCGGCGGACGGGUGAGUAACACGUGGGUAACCUACCUAUAAGACUGGGAUAACUUCGGGAAACCGGAGCUAAUACCGGAUAAUAUUUCGAACCGCAUGGUUCGAUAGUGAAAGAUGGUUUUGCUAUCACUUAUAGAUGGACCUGCGCCGUAUUGGCUAGUUGGUAAGGUAACGGCUUACCAAGGCGACGAUACGUAGCCGACCUGAGAGGGUGAUCGGCCACACUGGAACUGAGACACGGUCCAGACUCCUACGGGAGGCAGCAGUC